GGGUUGUGAGGUUAAGCGACUAAGCGUACACGGUGGAUGCCCUGGCAGUCAGAGGCGAUGAAGGACGUGCUAAUCUGCGAUAAGCGUCGGUAAGGUGAUAUGAACCGUUAUAACCGGCGAUUUCCGAAUGGGGAAACCCAGUGUGUUUCGACACACUAUCAUUAACUGAAUCCAUAGGUUAAUGAGGCGAACCGGGGGAACUGAAACAUCUAAGUACCCCGAGGAAAAGAAAUCAACCGAGAUUCCCCCAGUAGCGGCGAGCGAACGGGGAGCAGCCCAGAGCCUGAAUCAGUAUGUGUGUUAGUGGAAGCGUCUGGAAAGGCGCGCGAUACAGGGUGACAGCCCCGUACACAAAAAUGCACAUGCUGUGAGCUCGAUGAGUAGGGCGGGACACGUGGUAUCCUGUCUGAAUAUGGGGGGACCAUCCUCCAAGGCUAAAUACUCCUGACUGACCGAUAGUGAACCAGUACCGUGAGGGAAAGGCGAAAAGAACCCCGGCGAGGGGAGUGAAAAAGAACCUGAAACCGUGUACGUACAAGCAGUGGGAGCACGCUUAGGCGUGUGACUGCGUACCUUUUGUAUAAUGGGUCAGCGACUUAUAUUCUGUAGCAAGGUUAACCGAAUAGGGGAGCCGAAGGGAAACCGAGUCUUAACUGGGCGUUAAGUUGCAGGGUAUAGACCCGAAACCCGGUGAUCUAGCCAUGGGCAGGUUGAAGGUUGGGUAACACUAACUGGAGGACCGAACCGACUAAUGUUGAAAAAUUAGCGGAUGACUUGUGGCUGGGGGUGAAAGGCCAAUCAAACCGGGAGAUAGCUGGUUCUCCCCGAAAGCUAUUUAGGUAGCGCCUCGUGAAUUCAUCUCCGGGGGUAGAGCACUGUUUCGGCAAGGGGGUCAUCCCGACUUACCAACCCGAUGCAAACUGCGAAUACCGGAGAAUGUUAUCACGGGAGACACACGGCGGGUGCUAACGUCCGUCGUGAAGAGGGAAACAACCCAGACCGCCAGCUAAGGUCCCAAAGUCAUGGUUAAGUGGGAAACGAUGUGGGAAGGCCCAGACAGCCAGGAUGUUGGCUUAGAAGCAGCCAUCAUUUAAAGAAAGCGUAAUAGCUCACUGGUCGAGUCGGCCUGCGCGGAAGAUGUAACGGGGCUAAACCAUGCACCGAAGCUGCGGCAGCGACGCUGAUGCGUUGUUGGGUAGGGGAGCGUUCUGUAAGCCUGCGAAGGUGUGCUGUGAGGCAUGCUGGAGGUAUCAGAAGUGCGAAUGCUGACAUAAGUAACGAUAAAGCGGGUGAAAAGCCCGCUCGCCGGAAGACCAAGGGUUCCUGUCCAACGUUAAUCGGGGCAGGGUGAGUCGACCCCUAAGGCGAGGCCGAAAGGCGUAGUCGAUGGGAAACAGGUUAAUAUUCCUGUACUUGGUGUUACUGCGAAGGGGGGACGGAGAAGGCUAUGUUGGCCGGGCGACGGUUGUCCCGGUUUAAGCGUGUAGGCUGGUUUUCCAGGCAAAUCCGGAAAAUCAAGGCUGAGGCGUGAUGACGAGGCACUGCGGUGCUGAAGCAACAAAUGCCCUGCUUCCAGGAAAAGCCUCUAAGCAUCAGGUAACAUCAAAUCGUACCCCAAACCGACACAGGUGGUCAGGUAGAGAAUACCAAGGCGCUUGAGAGAACUCGGGUGAAGGAACUAGGCAAAAUGGUGCCGUAACUUCGGGAGAAGGCACGCUGAUAUGUAGGUGAAGUCCCUCGCGGAUGGAGCUGAAAUCAGUCGAAGAUACCAGCUGGCUGCAACUGUUUAUUAAAAACACAGCACUGUGCAAACACGAAAGUGGACGUAUACGGUGUGACGCCUGCCCGGUGCCGGAAGGUUAAUUGAUGGGGUUAGCGCAAGCGAAGCUCUUGAUCGAAGCCCCGGUAAACGGCGGC
rnacentral:rRNA from 1 species